CCUACGGGAGGCAGCAGUAGGGAAUAUUGCGCAAUGGGCGAAACCCUGACGCAGCAACGCCGCGUGAAUGAUGAAGGUUUUCGGAUUGUAAACUCCUUUUGUUAGAGAAGAUAAUGACGGUAUCUAACGAAUAAUCACCGGCUAACUCCGUGCCAGCAGCCGCGGUAAUACGGAGGGUGCAAGCGUUACUCGGAAUCACUGGGCGUAAAGAGCGCGUAGGCGGGAUGGGAAGUCAGAUGUGAAAUCCUAGGGCUUAACCAUAGAACGGCAUUUGAAACUGUGAGUCUAGAGUGUGGGAGAGGUAGGUGGAAUGCGGGGUGUAGGGGUGAAAUGCGUAGAGAUCAAGAGGAAUACUGAUUGCGAAGGCGGCCUGCUGGCACCUAACUGACGCUGAUGCGCGAAAGCGUGGGGAGCAAACAGGAUUAGAUACCCGGGUAGUC
rnacentral:rRNA from 1 species